rnacentral:rRNA from 1 species
AYAAUUUUCAGCGACGGAUAUCUUGGCUCGAGCACCUAUUAAGGGCGCAGCGAAGUGCGAUAAUCGUUGUGAAUUGCAGAACUCCKUGAACCAAUGGCCUCUUGAACGUGCAUUGCGCUCUUGGGAUAUGCCUGAGAGCAUGUCUGCUUCAGUG